UCUGCACGUCUUACUUCAUCUGCAGGACAUCAACAUAACAUCUAAAGACAUCACUUCGUCUCCAUGCAGCUUAUAAAGAACGCUGAUGUGAAAUAAUCAUUCGCCUCCUGUCAAUUUGCUGCUUUACAUUGCUCACUCACUUUCUGGGCUCCGAUUCCAGAUUGAGCACUCUCCCAGAUGAACAGUAUGUAUUUCUCAUUUUAUAUAUCUGUCAAUCAUUAGUAUUCUUCUUUUGAAUAGCCCGUUUGAUAUCACUUCAACUUGAGAAUGGCAUACUUUUUACGUGACCAUUUUAAAGUAUCACAUUUCAUUACUUCCAGCUUGUUUGAUUUUCUGUUAUUACGUGAUACGGGUUGUACGGAUUGAGUGGUUAGCACAUCUGUCUCAUAGUUCUGAGCUUGUGGGUUUGAAUCUGGGCUCAGCGUUCCUGUGUGGAGUUUGCAUGUUACCCCAGUGCUUGGGUGGGUACUUCGGUGUCAUAUACUGCCCUGCAGUUCCAUUAUUGGAGCCGGGUUGGCGCUUUGCGUCCUCUCUCUGUCUCCCCCCUCCCCUCUCUGUUUUCAGCACCUGUCUCCAAUCAGCUUCAUCACCACCGGUAUAUACGCCUGCCUGUUCCAGGAAAUCCUCGCCAAAGUAUUGCAGUUACUUCCAGCGUGUUUUCCCCCGUGUUCCUGAUCCACGUCAUUCCUGCCGCCAAGCCAGCCCCCUGUCCUCACCACUGCCUGCCACCUGUCCAUGUCACCGCCUGCCAACCCACCUACGACCACCGCCAUUACCUUUCCUCAAUAAACUGUUCAUCAUUUUA